GCCGCCUUAGCUCAGUUGGCCAGAGCAGCUGUCUUGUAAACAGCAGGUCGUCGGUUCGAAUCCGACAGGCGGCUCCA
rnacentral:tRNA from 1 species